rnacentral:lncRNA from 1 species
GCCCCCCUCCCUCCUCCUGCUUACCACAUCCUUUUCACAGCCCCCAUUACUCUUCUGAGUUUUUUCAGAGCAGACUUCCGAGGCUGAUUCAUAUGUGCCCUUAUCAGCGCUGGGAGCUCUGAGAGAGGAAAUGUCAAACUCGCCUUGUUCUGUGGUCACCGUAUAUCCCAGUCACUGCCGUUCAAUAGCUUUGAUGUGUAAACAAAUUCAAGCCUGUACAUACUUUGGUUUUUCCUGUCAGGUUCACUAUGUUACCCGCAGACAGUCUAAUGUAACACUGUGUAUGGAAACAGUCUGCAUUUGGCUUUAGGAUAUACUAUGUGGCUUUUUCCCUGAGCAAGAUUAACUGUCUACUUCUCUUUGGGGGAGUGACAUUAAGUUAGAUUUUAUUCCUUGAUGUCCCAGCAACAGAAGGGGGAGGUGAGCCUGGCAUAAACCCAGCCUGCAUAAGAUGAACACUGUCCUCUCAAUAAAUCACAAAGGGGGGGGGUGUCAUUGAAAAUGGAUGCUGUUCAUGAAGUUCCAUGUUGUCUCUUAUCUUUGGACGUGCCUUAGGUCGACUACUUCUGAUGAUGCUCUUUGGCGUUAGAAGGAACAUUUCCUGUUUAAUGUGCUAACAUAGACUGCUGGUUAAGGGUUUCCAAUUUUUCACAUGUGUGUAGUCAGUUUUCACAAUAUGAUGUUUCAGGGCCUUACGGAAGUAAAGGCUGAAGACUCAUCUGGGUGUUUGAGGGCCCCUUGAAAAUGAAUGUUCCUUUGGGGGAAAGGAUACUCAACCUCCUGCAGAAGGGAUCAAAGUACAUAGCACUGGGGUUGGACAUGGGACUUUGAACAGGGUCAGAGCUAAGGAUUCCUUAGCAUAGCCUGUAGAGGUGGGAAAAUAGCUGCUUGAAGUGGACACCCCAUCCUGUCGCCUCAUCUUGCGAUUAUUAUUUUUUUUAAUCCCAGUAGAGGUAGACCUCAUCCACAAAGAGGCAGAACGGGCCUAUGAGGAGAGAGUUUUCUCUCCACGCUGGCAUCUCAGGAAACACCUUAAAGUUGAGAGGGCAACGGGCUUUAACUAAAUGGGAAGUAACUCCACAUUCAUUCAGAAUUUACCAAAGAGGAAUCAGAGUUGUCCUUCGAACACCUGCGCCCAUCAGCCAAGCCUCUCUUUUUGGAAGAUUGGCAUUUCCUGGGUGAGUUGUUUUUGAAGGGUAUUUGCAGGUGUAAAAUCAGCUCCAAACAGGAAAGGGUGUUGCUUCUUUUUGCUCUCAUUCAUUAGCCACAUGGAGAGGACCCAGUCAAACCUCCACAACUUCUCAGAUUUUGGUGUUGACUGCUAGAAGGGGUGACUAUGUCACAUUUCCUGGCUGAAUGCCAGAUGGGGUUCAGACACUCAUUAGCUUGCCUGCCUGUUUGAGCCAGACUCUUCUAGAAAGUUUGCCAGGUAUUCCCUGGAGAAAUCUCAAGGUGGGAGGUCGGCUGGGGCAGCUCACCGUAGUAGGGCAAGAAGAGCAAGGUCAGUGGCUGAGCAAGCUGCACUGGCACUGCUUUGAGGGGCAAGAAAGUAGCCCCAAGGCAUCAGGAAGACAUUGCAAGUGGAUUUGGGCUCAAGUUGUCUUGAAAAAGUCCUAAGAAGGCCAUCUUCUUGGGUAAGCAGACCCCAGAGGUCCACUGCCAGGGCAGAGGCUGAUGGCGCUGGGGUCAUAGGGGCUCAGCCAGGGGGAGAACCGUUUGUGUUAGGAGAUGGUGCCACAAGGAGGAGCCCUAAAUGACCUUCAACAUACCCUUAACUGUUGCCCACAAAAUAAAACCAGUACUUAAAUAACAGCGGUACUUCAAGAACCAAAAGAACACCACAAGUAGCACCAAUUAAGUAAAAAUUCCUUGGAUCUUUCCCCCUCUCAUCCUUUUCUGUACCUGGAGAACCAAGAAGCAGGCACUGGGUGCACCGAGGUGGGCUGGGAUGUAUCGCCGAGAGUGGGGCCACACCGUGACCACUCUAAAGAUGCUGAUCCCCAAACCUGAAAUCAAGCCUGAACCAGGUGGAGAAAGAAGGUUUAAUUGAAUUCAGGUUGAAAGUUUUGAUUUAUAAUGGUCUGGACUGGAUUUUCAAUUCCUGAAGAUGGGCCUGUUUUCUAAUGGCUGAAAUUAUUGAAAGUGAUGGGAUCUGCCUCAGGUAUUGGCGGGAGAAAACAAGACAAUUUCCUGAUUAUAUCCUACGCAGUUAAACCCUGUAUAAAUCUGAUAAAAUCUGCAUUAUAGAUGUACUAAUGCAGCUUGCUUGCUUUUAUUAACUCUAUUGGCCUGAUUCUGAUGACCUACCAAGAUACUGGUAAUUUGAGGCACAAAAUGCCUGUCUGUACUCUGGAUAUUUAAGGAUAGGCAAGAAUUUACCCAAGGGGAACAGAGCAUAAUGAUAUCCAAGACAAGAAUAUCACAAGGAAGAGCCACUCCAAACCAUCCUCUCCUUUCUAGAGUCAGGAGAAAACGCUUUGAGCUCUGGUUGGAUUUUUUUCCAAGAUAGUUUUCAGCCCUUCUCCAUGGACCCACAUGGCUCCCUUACUCCCAUUCCCCCAAUUAGGAUGAAAAAGCCCAACACUUAGCCAAGCCUGUUUUCUCCUUAGGAAGGACUCACUCUGAAGGGUCAAAAGGAUCAAACUGAGCUCUGUGGACAGCCGAACGCCAAGGAUGCCUUUGGGAACUUUUCUGACACUUUUCCAAGUGAACCACCAAGAAGAAUCCAGAAACCCUUUUUAUCUGUAUUCACACUAAGAAUCAAAAGCAAGGCAGGGGGUUGUCUCCAAGAGCAUUUUCUUUCUUCUCAGAGCUCCCUUUAGGAGCCUCACAAUUAAGCACACACAGAAAAGAAAUAAGGAAGCCGCAACAGCUUAAUGUGUGAAUAGUGGAUCGAUAUUCGUAUAUGCUAAUGGUUCUGUUGGGUCUUUCUUUCCCGUCUAGUUUUCUUUCUUUUCUUUUCUUCUUUUUUUUUUUUUAGGGGUGCAGGUGCAGCAAAUGUAAGUUCCCAGGCUAGGGGUUGAAUCGGAGCUACAGCUGCUGGCCUACACCACAGGCACAGCAACGCAGGAUCUGAGCCACGUCUUUGACCUAUACCAUAGCACAUGGCAAUGCUGGAACCCUGACCCACUGAGCAAGGCCAGGGAUUGAACUCACGUCCUCGUAGAUACUAGUCAGGUUUGUUUCCACUGCACCACAAUGGGAACUCUCCCCAUACAGUUUUCUAUUUGACUGUGUCUCAACCUGAAGACCGUUUUCUUUGGUUGUGUGUGCUGGGCAGGUCCAUGUUAAAGACUCAAGAGAAUGUUUUCCAAAGACUAGCAAGGCAUUGCUAAGGUCCCCAAGGAUACUUCUUUUUUUUUUUUUUUUGAUACUUCUUUCUCCUGUAGAUGACAAAGCAUUGCUGGAGUCAUACUUCCUCUUUGCAGAGGCAGAGGCAGGAGAAACAGAUGAGUGGGGUUUCAGAAGUGAAGGAUCCCAGGUUCUCUUUCCACCACCGCUAUGGACUGCCAACAAAACCUGAGGCUCAAAGCCAAAUACAAUGUUAAGUAAUUUAAAGCCAGAGGGAGCUAUUAGACAAGAAGGCAUUAGAGCCUUUCUGGAAGCCUUGCUUAUGUUGCCUUUUGUUUUGGGAGAAGAUAGCUCCUAACACGCGAAUUCAGGUUCAUAAAGUCUUUUCCUCAAUUUCAAACCUAAACACUAAAAUCUGGCUUUUGUUGUACUAACACGGUAUUUUAAAUAGCCUUUAGAUUGAGCCGAAUUUUUUUUUUUUUUUUUUUUUUUUUUUGAUGGUAUGAGAAAAGCCCCUGAGAGUAGAAAAGCUAGCAAUCGGAGGAAGCAUGGCAAUGUAAGCCCAAUAAAGACCGUGGAUAACGGUUAGUGGGUGUCUUGGUUGGAAGUCCCUGGUUUUAUAGGAACUGUAGGAUGAAACUUGUAAAACAAUUUUAUUCAUUAUAACUGGAGUUUCUUACUGAGGAUUCACCUCUGUUUUCUCUUACCCUGGAGAAUACCCAGCCACAGUUCUAAGAGGCUAGAUUGGCCAAUGCAUACCUAGCUUUGACUUCAGUUGAUACAGAAAAUUUCUGUACCAAAGGUCUUCUACUCGUCCCCAAUUAAGAAAUAUCCUUCACUUUUAAAGGCAGGAAGUCAGGAUUGUUAUUUUUGUUUUAAGCAACUAACGAAGGGGAAGUCAAAACACAUGGCCUUAGUGAGGUCUUCCAAACAGAGGUCUCCCAAAUGGCAGAAAAAACAGAGCAAAGGUCAUUGAAGACAGACGUUGUUCUGGAUUCAUGAUGAGCCCCCCGGUCUCCUUGCUGGGAUCAGAAUAUUGCCAUGACCCCAAAAGUUGCUUGCCAGAUGAAAAUUUUCUUAGAUAUUUUUAUUCUUCCAGGAGAAUGGAUACUGAUCGGCGUGUCCUCACGUGUUCACUGGAGCAGUCUGCUUCAAACAAUAAGCUACCUAGAUUCACGGCUCUGCUGGCUUUCUCAGUUUCCAUUGUCAUGCUCUCUGGGAACUUCUUCCCAACAGAUCUGAUAGCUUUGAGUCGUUAAUGCUGUUGAAAUCUUUCCUGGAGUCAUUGUGCCCCUCUAGGAGCUGCUGGCUGUGACUUCGCUUGUUAGGGACCACUUGACCCCUACAACUGAAUCAGUUCUUCUCACUCUCACAGUGCUGGCUUCUUCUCUGUUACUACUAGCCUGUGGCAGAAGUAUAUGGUAUGCCUUGAUGUCACUUCCUUCAGAGUAGUGAUUCAUAACGGACAUAGCGAGACAAAAAAUAUUUAUUUACAGUGGUUUUUUGAGAGCUCAAAAAUUUUUCUGUUGGAUGGUCAUUACCACCAGAAAUCACAAUAAGUCUAUGCAGAAGCAGAAUUUCAGCUCUUCUGAUUAUGUACUUUUGAGACUGUCUUACACAAUCUUGAAACAACCAGUCAGUACAAUUAACCAUUCUUUUGUUAAGAAGCACACAAAUGUAAUCAGGCCUUAAAUAGUCCACUUAGAGUGUCACCCGUUUUCUAUUAGCAAAGAGGAGGGGUUGAGUGCUAUCUCAAAGUAACAUCCCUUGGAAUAAAUUUUGAGAUCUUACAAUUCAGUACAGAGCAGUUGAACAAAUAUUGAAUUUAUAUUAUGAGUAAGGAAUUAAGGUAAACAUUGUAUGGAACUUAAAGAUAAAUGAAGCAGGAUGCUAAUGAAAGAGUAAAAAGAAAUGAGAAGAUGUCAAAAAUUUCCUAAAUUGAUCUGAGAAAGAAAAAAUAUAUAUGUAUAAGAAUAUGGGAGUUCCUGUCGUGGCACAGUGGUUAACGAAUCCGACUAGGAACCAUGAGGUGUCAGGUUCGGUCCCUGACCUUGCUCAGUGGGUUAAGGAUCCGGCGUUGCUGUGAGCUGUAGUGUAGGUUGUAGACGUGGCUCGGAUCCUGCAUUGCUGUGGCUCUGGCGUAGGCUGGUGGCUAUAGCUCCGAUUAGACCCCUAGCCUGGGAACCCCCAUAUACCACAGGAGCGGCCC